rnacentral:misc_RNA from 1 species
GAAAUGCGAUAAGUAAUGUGAAUUGCAGAAUUCAGUGAAUCAUCGAAUCUUUGAACGCACAUUGCGCCCGCCAGCACUCUGGCGGGCAUGCCUGUUCGAGCGUCAUUUCAACCCUCAGAACCCCUUGCGGGAUCUGGCGUUGGGGAUUGGCAUCCAGCCAGCCCCGAAAUCUAGUGGCGGUCCCUCCGCGACCUCCCCUGUGCAGUAGCGAUACCUCGCAGCGGGACAGCGGUCUGACCACGCCGUAAAACCCCCAACUUCUCAAGGUUGACCUCGAAUCAGGUAGGAAUACGCGCUGAACAUAAGC